UUAAUGCUAAUCGUGAUAGGGGUUUUUAUCUCUGACUGACUCCUACAUGUUAGCAUUAAGA
rnacentral:pre_miRNA from 1 species